rnacentral:rRNA from 1 species
GACGAACGCUGGCGGCGUGCUUAACACAUGCAAGUCGAACGGUAAGGCUCCAGCUUGCUGGGGUACACGAGUGGCGAACGGGUGAGUAACACGUGGGUGACCUGCCCUGCACUUCGGGAUAAGCCUGGGAAACUGGGUCUAAUACCGGAUAGGACCAUGGUGUGGAUACUGUGGUGGAAAGUUUUUUCGGUGUGGGAUGCGCCCGCGGCCUAUCAGCUUGUUGGUGGGGUAAUGGCCUACCAAGGCGGCGACGGGCAGCCGGCCUGAGAGGGUGGACGGCAACAUUGGGACUGAGACACGGCCGAGACUCCUACGGGAGGCAGCAGUGGGGAAUAUUGCACAAUGGGCGGAAGCCUGAUGCAGCGACGCCGCGUGGGGGAUGACGGCCUUCGGGUUGUAAACUCCUUUCACCAUCGACGAAGGGUUUCUGACGGUAGAUGGAGAAGAAGCACCGGCUAACUACGUG